CUCAGAUCCUGAGCUGAUUUCACCCCGCCGCAAAAGACCCCAGGCUACUGCCAGCUUCCGGGCGAUCCGAAGGGCGAGCCUCCCCAUUGCGUUAGGUAUCCUUCACUCCGCCACCCGUAUUGCAGAUGGCAGCUCCUCCCGUGUUCUAGGCUGGCAUGGGGCUCUGGCUGAAGAUAUCCUGUGGCUGUCCAGUCUUCUCACGUGUCCUGCCAGGGAGCUGGGUUGCUUUGGUGCCGGU